rnacentral:tRNA from 1 species
GUCCUGCUAGCGCAAUGGCAGCGCGUCAGACUUCUAUAUGAUGAAAUCUGAAGGUUGCCGGUUCGAGUCCGGCGUAGGAUG